CUCUUCCCAUCUUGUUUUCGUACUUAACCAUCCAUCUACAAGAGUUCAGGAGCUACUAGACAGUUUUCAGUUUCCUUGGAGGUACCUGGGAGAUAGGAAGAGGGUC